GAUGAACGCUGGCGGCGUGCUUAACACAUGCAAGUCGAACGGUGAACGAGGGAGCUUGCUCCCUCCGGAUCAGUGGCGAACGGGUGAGUAACACGUGAGCAAUCUGCCCUGGACUCUGGGAUAAGCGCUGGAAACGACGUCUAAUACCGGAUACGAGGCGUGGGGGCAUCCCCAACGCCUGGAAAGAACUUCGGUCCAGGAUGAGCUCGCGGCCUAUCAGCUAGUUGGUGAGGUAACGGCUUACCAAGGCGACGACGGGUAUCCGGCCUGAGAGGGUGACCGGCCACACUGGGACUGAGACACGGCCCAGACUCCUACGGGAGGCAGCAGUGGGGAAUAUUGCACAAUGGGCGCAAGCCUGAUGCAGCAACGCCGCGUGAGGGACGACGGCCUUCGGGUUGUAAACCUCUUUUAGCAGGGAAGAAGCGAAAGUGACGGUACCUGCAGAAAAAGCACCGGCUAACUACGUGCCAGCCGCCGCCGUAAGAC
rnacentral:rRNA from 1 species